rnacentral:lncRNA from 1 species
AGUGAUAGGAAUACAAAGUUUCUAAGUCAUUUUUGGAAAGUUUUGUGGAGUAAAUUAGGAACUAGGUUGUUGUUUUCUACUACUUGUCAUCGUUACACAAGUAAUGAAGACAACUAGAUUUAAUGUAUCUAAAUCAGAAUUUGUUUGAAAAUUUAAGAGCAAAUUAUCUAUCUAAUAAAAUCCGAAUUUGGACUGAGUUUCUUCAUGAAAGUUGUAUGCCUAAGUGUGUAGAUAAGUUUAGACUUUUGAAUCACUUAUUUUGGACAUUAAAAGCCCAAGUAUGGCCCAUCCAAAUAAACUACUUCAACUUCAUAUUGGAUUAGUGUAACUUCCAUUUGUGUUAAUGUGACCAAGCUUCAAUUUAUGUUAUUCAAACCAAACUCGAUACAUGUUUCCUUGUUGCAUUCUUGAAUUUUGUUAAUGUCAUUCCACAAGCCUUGAAUCAUCCCGUUUAAUGUGUCCUUGAAUUUCUUCAACCUUGCUUUGUAGUCGGACCACUAAGUAGCUGAAUUGGAUCCAUGUUCUUGUAUCCUGCCU